AUUGAACGCUGGCGGAAUGCUUUACACAUGCAAGUCGAACGGUAGAGGGGGCAACCCCUUGAGAGUGGCGAACGGGUGAGUAAUAUAUCGGAACGUGCCCAGUCGUGGGGGAUAACGUAGUGAAAAUUACGCUAAUACCGCAUACGAUCUAAGGAUGAAAGCGGGGGAUCGCAAGACCUCGCGCGACUGGAGCGGCCGAUAUCAGAUUAGGUAGUUGGUAGGGUAAAGGCCUACCAAGCCAACGAUCUGUAGCUGGUCUGAGAGGACGACCAGCCACACUGGAACUGAGACACGGUCCAGACUCCUACGGGAGGCAGCAGUGGGGAAUUUUGGACAAUGGGCGAAAGCCUGAUCCAGCCAUUCCGCGUGCAGGAUGAAGGCCCUCGGGUUGUAAACUGCUUUUGUACAGAACGAAAAGGUUUCUACUAAUACUAGGAGCUCAUGACGGUACUGUAAGAAUAAGCACCGGCUAACUACGUGCC
rnacentral:rRNA from 1 species